rnacentral:misc_RNA from 1 species
UUUCCGUAGGUGAACCUGCGGAAGGAUCAUUAUUGUAUAACCAGGGAGCGAGGGCUGUCGCUGACCCUAGCGCUCGUGCACGCCCGAGUGCUCUCACCCACAUCCAUCUCACCCCUAUCUGCACCACCGCGUGUGUCUCCCUUUGACUUGUUCGGAGGGGGUCUUACGUUUUCACACAGUUUUUGUAUGCAGUGUAGAAUGUAUUUUUUGUUUUUGCGAUCACGCAAUCAAAACAACUUUCAACAACGGAUCUCUUGGCUCUC